GCAGCGAAACGCGAUAGGUAAUGUGAAUUGCAGAAUUCCGUGAAUCAUCGAAUCUUUGAACGCACCUUGCGCUCCAUGGUAUUCCGUGGAGCAUGCCUGUUUGAGUGCCGCGAAUUCUCCCUCCCCUUACGGUGGCCGAAAGGCCGAAGUAGGGCGGACGGGGUAGGAUGGGUGUUGCUGCCUGGGGAUUGUACCAGGCUCGCCCGAAAUGCAUAAGCGCCAGGACCCUCGCUACCGCUCUCUAGGGAAGAGUGGCUAAGCGACCGCUGAGCAUGGCAUGAUACGUCAUUUGCUGUGUGUGGGCGGCCGGUUGGAGAGGUGUCUGCUUUACCAGCCCUUUUUUAAUUCUGGUCUCAAAUCAGGUAGGAUCACCCGCUGAACUUAAGCAUAUCAAUAAGCGGAGGAACUGCUGGAGGAAGGUGUACGUGGCCACUUCCAAGGAUGCUGAACUGGACCGGCCACCCCCCAGGGGCACUGAGCUGACCACCACUGCACUGAAGCCAGGGAGGGGGGCAGCUGCAGGGGAAAAAACAGGUGAUGGUAAGAGAGGCUGCCU
rnacentral:rRNA from 1 species